rnacentral:rRNA from 1 species
GACAGAGGUCCCGAGCGUUAGGCGGAAUCACUGGGCUUAAAGCGUGUGUAGGCGGAUCGUUAAGUGCCUUGUGAAAUCCCAUGGCUUAACCAUGGAACUGCUUGGCAUACUGGCGGUCUUGAGCCACUUAGGGGCAACCGGAACAAAUGGUGGAGCGGUGAAAUGCGUAGAUAUCAGGAGGAACACCGGUGGCGAAGGCGGGUCUCUGGGCCGAUACUGACGCUGAGGAGCGAAAGCGUGGGGAGCGAACAGG